CCUACGGGGGGCUGCAGUGGGGAAUAUUGGACAAUGGGCGAAAGCCUGAUCCAGCCAUGCCGCGUGUGUGAAGAAGGCCUUCGGGUUGUAAAGCACUUUCAGUGGGGAAGAAAGCCUUGGGGCUAAUACCCUCGAGGAAGGACAUCACCCACAGAAGAAGCACCGGCUAACUCCGUGCCAGCAGCCGCGGUAAUACGGAGGGUGCGAGCGUUAAUCGGAAUUACUGGGCGUAAAGCGCGCGUAGGCGGUCUGAUAAGCCGGUUGUGAAAGCCCCGGGCUCAACCUGGGAACGGCAUCCGGAACUGUCAGGCUAGAGUGCAGGAGAGGAAGGUAGAAUUCCCGGUGUAGCGGUGAAAUGCGUAGAGAUCGGGAGGAAUACCAGUGGCGAAGGCGGCCUUCUGGACUGACACUGACGCUGAGGUGCGAAAGCGUGGGUAGCAAACAGGAUUAGAAACCCGAGUAGUC
rnacentral:rRNA from 1 species